UGUCGCUAUUGUUAAUUAUGGUUUUACCUUUGAUGGUUAUAUUGUGAUAGUUUACUUGCUAUUGUAGCAGGAUUAAGCUUAUCCACUAAACAGAAAGUUAUCUUAAGUAUAUGGCGCACAUUUGACCCCAUAUAGUUUUCCUCCAUGAAAUACAUUGGAAAUCCACUAACUCCUAUGGUCUAAAAGGACAACAGUCCAGUUGUAUUGCCACCACCUACAAAUAUAACUCCCAAGGAGUAGUAAUACAUACUCAUCCCUCAAUGCUAAAAUCAUACAGCAAUUUACCAAUCGACAGGGUCGAUACAUAAUUCUGUUAGCAUUGGGAGAUUUUUGGGACACAAACUUUACUGCUUUUUUACUAAACUGAUUUUUAUCUCUGCUCUCUUUCAGCAGAGGAUAUAAUCCUGGGAUGUCUUUAUGUAAUGGAGGAUAGCUCAUUUUUCAUUUAGGGUCACUGAUCAAACACACCCACUGCACCUUAUGUAAAAAUCUUCAUCUGGAGACUUUCCAGUCUCCAAAAUCAGACAGUACACCCCUUACAAUUUCCUUCUAUCCAAGGGUCAGAUCAUACAUACACAACAUUGCUCCCUUUACCAUUUCUUUAUAUCUAUGUCUACGCACUGGCAACUCCCUUCUUACCUACUCUCAAAUGACACAUUUAUGCUUUUGCUAAAGGUGGUAUUGGCUAAUUAUGCUGACAACUGAGAACAUUUCAAUAAUUCCAUGCUGUUCUGGUGAGCCUUUCAAUACAUUAAUAAGAGGUCAAAUUAAAUCAUUUGUUUCCAAAUUUGAAAGGAAACAAAUCUUUGCAAACCAAAUAUGGAUCCUGCCAACCCAUCCGGCAUAUCUGAC